ACGGGUGAGUAACACGUGGAUAACCUACCUAUAAGACUGGGAUAACUUCGGGAAACCGGAGCUAAUACCAGAUAACAUGUUGAACCGCAUGGUUCAACAGUGAAAGACGGUCUUGCUGUCACUUAUAGAUGGAUCCGCGCCGCAUUAGCUAGUUGGUAAGGUAACGGCUUACCAAGGCAACGAUGCGUAGCCGACCUGAGAGGGUGAUCGGCCACACUGGAACUGAGACACGGUCCAGACUCCUACGGGAGGCAGCAGUAGGGAAUCUUCCGCAAUGGGCGAAAGCCUGACGGAGCAACGCCGCGUGAGUGAUGAAGGUCUUCGGAUCGUAAAACUCUGUUAUUAGGGAAGAACAAAUGUGUAAGUAACUAUGCACGUCUUGACGGUACCUAAUCAGAAAGCCACGGCUAACUACGUGCCAGCAACCGCGGUAAUACGUAGGUGGCAAGCGUUAUCCGGAAUUAUUGGGCGUAAAGCGCGCGUAGGCGGUUUUUUAAGUCUGAUGUGAAAGCCCACGGCUCAACCGUGGAGGGUCAUUGGAAACUGGAAAACUUGAGUGCAGAAGAGGAAAGUGGAAUU
rnacentral:rRNA from 1 species